CGUGUAGGCGGGUAGUUAAGUCAGAAGUGAAAUCCUAUAGCUCAACUAUAGAACUGCUUUUGAAACUGACUACCUAGAAUAUGGGAGAGGUAGAUGGAAUUUCUGGUGUAGGGUAAAAUCCGUAGAGAUCAGAAGGAAUACCGAUUGCGAAGGCGAUCUACUGGAACAUUAUUGACGCUGAGACGCGAAAGCGUGGGGAGCAAACA
rnacentral:rRNA from 1 species